GAUGAACGCUGGCGGCGUGCCUAAUACAUGCAAGUCGAGCGAACAGACGAGGAGCUUGCUCCUCUGACGUUAGCGGCGGACGGGUGAGUAACACGUGGAUAACCUACCUAUAAGACUGGGAUAACUUCGGGAAACCGGAGCUAAUACCAGAUAAUAUAUUGAACCGCAUGGUUCAAUAGUGAAAGACGGUUUUGCUGUCACUUAUAGAUGGAUCCGCGCCGCAUUAGCUAGUUGGUAAGGUAACGGCUUACCAAGGCAACGAUGCGUAGCCGACCUGAGAGGGUGAUCGGCCACACUGGAACUGAGACACGGUCCAGACCCCUACGGGAGGCAGCAGUAGGGAAUCUUCCGCAAUGGGCGAAAGCCUGACGGAGCAACGCCGCGUGAGUGAUGAAGGUCUUCGGAUCGUAAAACUCUGUUAUUAGGGAAGAACAAAUGUGUAAGUAACUAUGCACGUCUUGACGGUACCUAAUCAGAAAGCCACGGCUAACUACGUG
rnacentral:rRNA from 1 species